UUUACAAUAUAUGUUGUAAAUUUUUUAUCGCAUCAAUGAAUUUUGAAAAAGAAAUAGAAAAUGUGUUAAAUUCUAGUCCGAAGAUAAACUCUGAAGAACCCAACCCGGAGACCUCCCUAAAAAUCGAUAAACUUUCUUCAGAGUUUGGAAACUUAGAAGAAAUAGAAGCCGCAUGGGCUGUAAAAUCAUGGAAACAAGCAGAAAUUUAUUUUAAUUUACUAUGUAAUUAUGAUUGCAAAAAUCUUUCAUUAACAAAGCUGGAUGAUGAAAUUUACGAACAAUUCCGAAAAGAAUUUCCCAAUUUAGAUGUACAUAGU